rnacentral:miRNA from 5 species
ACUCCAGCCCCACAGCCUCAGC